AUUGGACGCUGGCGGAAUGCUUUACACAUGCAAGUCGAACGGCAGCACGGGGGCAACCCUGGUGGCGAGUGGCGAACGGGUGAGUAAUACAUCGGAACGUGCCCAGUCGUGGGGGAUAACGUAGCGAAAGUUACGCUAAUACCGCAUACGAUCUAUGGAUGAAAGCGGGGGACCGUAAGGCCUCGCGCGAUUGGAGCGGCCGAUGUCAGAUUAGGUAGGUGGUGGGGUAAAGGCUCACCAAGCCGACGAUCUGUAGCUGGUCUGAGAGGACGACCAGCCACACUGGGACUGAGACACGGCCCAGACGCCUACGGGAGGCAGCAGUGGGGAAUUUUGGACAAUGGGCGCAAGCCUGAUCCAGCCAUUCCGCGUGCAGGAUGAAGGCCCUCGGGUUGUAAACUGCUUUUGUACGGAACGAAACGGUCUGCUCUAAUACAGCGGGCUAAUGACGGUACCGUAAGAAUAAGCACCGGCUAACUACGUGCCAGCCGCCGCAGUAA
rnacentral:rRNA from 1 species